CCCCGGGUGCCGGGGGUGGGCUUCGCCUUUGGCGUGGAGCGGGUGGCCUUGGCCCUCGAGGCCGAGGGUUUCGCCCUCCCCGAGGA
rnacentral:tRNA from 1 species